rnacentral:rRNA from 1 species
AAAUUGAAGAGUUUGAUCAUGGCUCAGAUUGAACGCUGGCGGCAGGCCUAACACAUGCAAGUCGAACGGUAACAGAAAGCAGCUUGCUGCUUUGCUGACGAGUGGCGGACGGGUGAGUAAUGUCUGGGAAACUGCCUGAUGGAGGGGGAUAACUACUGGAAACGGUAGC